rnacentral:lncRNA from 10 species
CGCACUGAAGCCACCUCCUAAACCACCGCCCAUGCCUCCGCCGUAACCUCCUCCAUAGCCACCUGCGGAGGCGGAAGUCGUGCUGCUGCUGACCACGGCUGUGGGGGAGAGGACAGGACAGCGAUCAGCGACGGCGCCCAGGCCAGCUGCUAUGUUAUUGUCAAUGAUCCACCGGGCCCACGACUAUCCAGAGCUGAUCAAGGCAGCUUUGCACAGGAUGUUCACCACGAGCCGUUCCAAGGCCACUAGCUACUCACUCCCCUGCCGUUAAGCCAUUAUGAAUUAGCCAGUGGUUCCUCCCACAGUACAGUCUUGAUGACCCCCUUGGAGGGGAUCUAGCGUCUGAAUUUAUCCUCCUAUCAAGAGGCCCCCUGUUGGAUAUUCCACAUUGGCCGUCGAAGCCUAUUAAAAGUGCCCUGAACCCAGAACAAUUACAAAAGCCAAUCACUUCCCUCUCCUCUCCCAGAAAACCCCUCCAACUUCCGUAAAAAUAUGUUUAAAUUAGUUGCUACUACCCUGGAUUAGUGCAGAUAUUUCAGAAUUAACUCUCAUUUUCUUAGCUACUUUCGGUACUUACAGAUGCUGACAGCACUCGGACACUCUCCAGACAUCCUGUUUGAGAAAGCAAGAGAAAGUGGGCCCCGUCACAAAGCACAUCACCAACAAGUCCACGGACCAAGGGCAUGAAUAGCAACCAGAGCUGAACAGAGAAGCCUGGCAAAUCAGGUCAUCCCCAUGCCUGCCAGCCGUGGUCUGCAGCUCCCCCAACUGCAGAACAGAAGGGAAGAUGGGGUAUUCCUGCAGCUUUGCUUGACUUGUUUCUACACCUCCAACAUCACCCACCAAACCUUCAGAAGCUCAGUAAGGCAUUUGCUAAAAUGAUACUGCAUUGUGUUUCAGCAGGGAAACCCCCAAGGCAGCAGGAAAGAGAACAUCUGGGUUGUUGUGGUAGAAGAUUUUCCUACCCUGUAGUUCCUGAGCAAGUUGGAGUCAGUCCCACAUAGCAGGCAACCAUCUCCCCCAGGGGCAAGACUUUCUGCAACUGAACCACCAUUAGAAGGAUGACUUCAGAGGGUAAAACCAAAAGGCAUUCACCCAGUGACCACUGGGAACUCACUACCCAGCUGUCCAAUAGGCCAUGGCCUCUCUGAAACCUCCAGUGGAUCCCGUAAGAGGUGACUAGCACCCACCUUGGUCUGGUACAGGGCCUCAGCUUCGGCCUUGCUUCUCUGAGCGAUAUCCUCAUACUGUGCACGAACUUCAGCAAUGAUGCUGUCCAGGUCCAGGGAGCGAUUAUUGUCCAUGGACAGCACCACAGAUGUGUCACUGAUGUGGCUCUGCAUCUGAGAUAGCUCCUGUCAACACAGAGGGAGCUUGUUCACUUUUGGGGUCCCUGUAACAAGCACACAGGGCCCUGAAAGACUCUUGAUCAACAGUCUCAUUCACUGAUUCCUUGCUCCACAUGUGUAUCAGCCACACCCUGUCCGCAGCCACUCAGAGAACCCCAUGUCUGCAGCUUAUCCUGUGGAAUCCCUUCCAAGGGUCCUCAUCUCCAGGCUCAUUCCAGAUGUCUUCUGGGGCCUAUAUACCAAAAUGCACCAGCCUCAAAUCUGGAAACACCUCACUCUCCCUCUGUCCCUUCUUAGUAGGUAACAUCCUUACAGCGUCGUAGAGGGUCCUUAAGAAGUCGAUCUCAUCUAUCAAGGCAUCCACUUUGGCCUGAAGCUCCACCUUGUUCAUAUAGGCACUGUCCACAUCCUGAGAAAAGAGGAAGAUAAAGGCCUUAUUCUCCCAAUGAACAAACAGCAAACCACAACUGCAGCAAGAAAGAGCAGAGGGGACUGGUGCAGUGAUGGUCCUUGUCUAAGACCAGUCUCCACUUGAACGGGCAAUUUGUAUCUCAUUAGGAUGGUCUAAGUUUAAUCCUACUAAAAAACUAAAGACUGAUGAACUAACUCUUUUAGGGAUCUUCCAGACUAAGGUGCACCUGACUUCUGUUUAUUGCUCCAAAGGCCUGAACUUGGCAGCUCUGUGGCAGUGGAGUGAGGAGAUUCCCCCAACCCAGCCAGAAACCUGCAGCUGCAAGCCUCAGAAACCUCACACACAGCCCUUACCUUCUUCAGAGUCACAAAUUCAUUCUCAGCAGCUGUACGUUUAUUGAUUUCAUCCUCAUAUCUGUGUGAAUAAAAAAGAAACAGCUGAGUUUGGUUUUGAGGUCAUCGUAAACACCAUUGUUCCCUGGAACUCUGAAAGUUCAUCUCUUCCCUCCCUCCAUCCCUAUCCUGCCCCUCUCAGAUGAGCACAUCCUCUUUACUAUCUCCCUGUUAGUUGGGGGACCAACCAAGUCAAUUUGCCCAGGCAAACUGUCUGGUUUUAGCACUAAAAUUUCUGCAUCCCAGGAAACCCCUCAGUCCCAGGCAAACCUCUGGAUGGUUGAUCACCAUACCAUGAGUUGUCCCAGAAUCUUUCACAUGCCAGAACCAGGAUCUUCCCCAACCUGGCUCAUGAGGAAAUGCUUCCCCAACUCUAAACUCAUCCGUUUUUUGUUUUUGUUUUUUUUUUAGACAUAGUCUCGCUCUGUCACCGAGGCUGGAGUGCAGUGGUACAAUCUUGACUCACUGCAACCUCCAUUUCCAGGGUUCAAGAAAUUCUGUUUCCUCAGCCACCCGACUAUCUUGGAUUACAGGUGUGUGCCACCACACCCAGCUAAUUUUUGUAUUUUUAGUAGAGAUGAUAUUUCGCCAUGUUGGCCAGGCUGGUCUUGAACUCCUGACCUCAAAUGAUCUGUCCACCUCGGCCUCCCAAAGUGCUGGGAUUACAGGCAUGAGCCACCAAGCCCAGCCUAAACUCAUCCUCUUGCCACAAUUUUAUUUGCAAAGCACCAUGCUUGGAGAAGGAAGGUGAGGGGGAACUGAAUGAACCAAGCUGUCCUUCAUGAAGGUUGUAGAGGCUGCGACUGCCAAAGCCACCUGCUCCGCUCCGGAAGCCAUAGGCCCCUCCGCCAGCUCCCCCAGAGUGGGCCACACAGCUCAUCCUGCUGCUGCCGGAGACCACAGCAGAGCGGCCGGAGAAACCCUGGCUCCCGCCACCAGAUGUCUUGCUGGCUUGUCUGCUCAUGAGUCUGACACAAUGUAGGUGCUCAACAAUGCUUCUCGAACUGAAGCAACUGCCCCUGCCGUGCUCUUGGGUGGUGGAUUCACAGGAGAAGGAGCUACCAGCCCGAUGGGAGAAAUGCUGCAGCUUCACAGGACACGACACAGAAAAAGGAGUGUGACCAAAAUCCAGUAUGAGGAGGCCUAAGGGAGACAGAACAGCAGGAUAUUCCAAAGGGGUGGAGCCACUCCUAGAAGACUUCUAGACGAAAGGACUCCUCUUAGGUAUCAGAAUCUUGCCCUCUGUAAGAAGAGCACCUGCCCUGUCUCUAGCAUCUAGGGCCUGCUUCUUCCUCAAGACCCCACUUCAAUACCGCCUCCUGCAUGAAGCCUCCUGUGAUUGCCAACCCCUCACUCUAGACUAGAAGUAAUUUUGCUACCCUCUGGACUGUCAUGUCCUUCAUUUGUAACUUCCAAAGGCAUUCAUCUGUCUGUCUGGUUACCAAGUUCUUUAUGUGCAUGCUUUUAUCUAGACAUUAUCAUCUGUAUUAAAAGCUCCUUGAAAACAGAGUCUAAUUCUUCUUUGUAUAAUGGGUCCCCAUUGCCCA